CAUUCCACCAGCAGCUCCAACAAGUUACAACACCCCGAUUACCUGCGAGACUCGUGCCGUGGGCCGACGACGCGCAAUUGUUUUCUUUCAGCAGCGCAGGAAACAUCCCCUGGCCUCCGGUGAAGAGUCCUGACUCAUUCAUUGUCGUUUUCAAAGACUAUAAUUAUACCGGUAACACUGUCACAUAAGUUACUUUCUCGCUGAUACCUGCCGCUGCUGUUGAAAUUUGCCUUGAUUGGCAAUUUGCUUUCCGGGUCAGGAUAUCUUCCUGAGUGAGUCGUGCAGUGAGACUCCCAUUCCGAAUAUCGCCAGACCAGGUCAGAACCCAUACUUACUGAGUGUGUGUAGAGCCAGUUGUUGAAGUGUGGAGGCCUCGAUCGGGAGUUCCCCAUACAUGCGAGAGAAGUGAUUUUAGAAUCUAUCUGCCGAGGAGAGCGAGCGGAUUACAAUGAUACGUGCAAAUCGAGCUGCAGUGUUGCUCAUUGCUGCUGCGUGCGCCAGUAGUAUCGUUAGCGUAUCCGCUAGUAUACCAUGUGGCCAAUACGCGAAGAUAUGUCCACCGAAAGGCUUUCCGGAUGAGACUGAUUGCUGCUAUCGCAACGGCUAUUGGCAGUGCUGUGAUCCUCGAUUCCCGGCCUGAAAAAUUGCCCUCAUCGCCAGCUCGGGCUUGCUUGGCAUCAUCGGCGCUGGUGGUGUCAUACUGUGUUUCUGCUGCCCCUCUUGUCCGGUGUACAAGAGGAGAGAGAAGGGAAAGGCACUCCUCAGUGUGACGCCAACAAAGUCGUACCAAUCUUUGCGCACUGCUACUACGUGAGCUUCUAGUGACACGUUCAUCCUGAGUGGUUCGAUAUGCUCCCAGGACAUGGACAACUGACUUGGUGUUGUCUUGAAGCGACACACUUCCGACUUGAUGGCACUAGCCCGCAGGCUUGGAUUUCUUGACUGACUUGACUAAAGAACAAUGUUGAGACAAAUAUGACUUCCCAGUUUUCUCGCAUGGCCCAUUGGAUUUUCGGGACUCAUAUAGAAGUAGUUUUAUAUACUGCCUCAAUGCCUUGUAUUUCUGUUCUGCAUUGCUAUACCAUUAGCCGGGACUGUGCCAUGGCAGCUACUGGAGCAAGAUAAUAAAUUUUUAUUAAAAUUGACUUUCAUGUGCCUCUGAGUCUGGCAAACUUUUCUAAUUGUCCGCAUACUCCAACGCAGCCACUUACUUACACAUAAUUAUACAUGUAGUCUUACUGGUGUAUGUUCACAGAAGAGGCUAGAAGUACACUUUCCCAAUGACUUUCAAACAUGUUUUAUGUGCCAUCA